GCUCCAAUGUGGAACUAUUCAAAGAUGUCCUGUUUAUCAUUUCACAUUGUAUAAAAAUAAAUGAUCACAAAGUUCAACUUUUAUUUUAUGUAUUAUGAAUGCUAAUGUGGUUUUGUUGUGAUGACUGGUGUUGUAUGAGAGGCUUUUAUAUUGCAUAUCGCUGAUACACUGGGGUAUUAACAGCUGUUAUCAACUCAAACUAACCCUGAACAUCUGUCUGAAUCCCAGAUGGCACCCUUUUGACUCUCUAGAUCAUGAUAUUUCAUCAGAGCCUUGGUCAACAAGUGGAUUAUAUUGGGCAAUGUUUCCCAAUCCUGGUCCUGGGGACCCCAAGGUGCAGGUGUUUGUUUUUGCCCUAGCACUCACUCACCUGAUUCAGAUUAAAGACUUGAUGAUAGGAUAAUUAUGUCAAUCAGGUGUGUGAGUGGUAGGGUAACAUUUGAAUCAGGUGUGUGAGUGGUAGGGUAACAUUUGAAUCAGGUGUGUGAGUGGUAGGGCAACAUUUGAAUCAGGUGUGUGAGUGGUAGGGCAACAUUUGAAUCAGGUGUGUGAGUGGUAGGGUAACAUUUGAAUCAGGUGUGUGAGUGGUAGGGUAACAUUUGAAUCAGGUGUGUGAGUGGUAGGGUAACAUUUGAAUCAGGUGUGUGAGUGGUAGGGUAAAAUUUGAAUCAGGUGUGUGAGUGGUAGGGCAACAUUUGAAUCAGGUGUGUGAGUGGUAGAGUAACAUUUGAAUCAGGUGGGAAAAAACUCCUUGGGGACUCCAGGACUGGGACUGGUUAACAUUGAUGUAGGCUGUGAGGUGCCAUUUGCAAAAUAACCUUUGAUUCUAUUAUUAUUAUUAUAAUUAUUAUAGAUUACAGUUUGAUAUUAAAUUUUUCUGCUGUCACAGAAGAGACUAAGCUAAUAAAUGUGUAACUUGUGUACAACGUAAUGUGUUAUUUCUCUUCAAAUAAAUGCCACAGAAAAAUAAAAUGAAUCAGAAAACGUA
ensembl:lncRNA